rnacentral:sRNA from 1 species
CCAGUCUUGUUCCCCAGAUCUGGUCAAACCUGGUUGAGCCAGCGAGCGUAUUUUCGGAUACAUUGGAUUGUGUGUUUUUUGGAUUGUUGAUUCUCAUUAGCCGUCCAUGUGAACCCGUGUGUGAACUCUGUGGCGGCUGCUGGUGGCGGACCAGACUCGUUCGCAACAGCCGGAAGUACCAGUUGCCUCCAUAGUCGAUAUCGACGCCAUUUGCUAGCCAACAGAUGGGUUCGAUCACUGACGUUGAUGCCCCAGUCAGUCUGGUAUUCUCUACAAAAAAUACUAGAAAGCUAUCGAUACUUCGAUAAAAUGGGAUAUCAAUUUUGUAAUGGUUUAAUCUGAUUUAAUUGGGCAGAAUGAGGGUUUUUUUACAAUACCCGAGAUACCCGAAAUCCAUCGAUUAUUUACUUUAGAUUUAGAUUAUCGACAUAAGCCUUAUUAGACGAAUUCUUCCAUAUUCAAAACAUACAUAAAUGUGUACCUAUGCGGAUCACACUAUUUAUACGUACUACUAGCUCACUCGAGCUAAGAGUUGAUCUGGCUUUAUGGGAUUACUACCUAACAUUAUUGGGAAUAAGGUAUUCAAAAUCCACCUUUAUAAAAGCAUUCUGCAAACCCCCUAGCUUUGAUUAGCUUGUAUCGCAUUCCGUCUAGUAGGUGACGGAGACAAUCGAAUCGAUCGACAGGGUCCUUUGUCCCUGUCUGCUUCUCUGCUCACCUCAGACCUCAGACAAUAGGGGCUACCGUAAGGGAACUUCCCUGUUACGAGGCUCCACUGCCUCUAGAGUUUCAUCACUGUACACCAUCGCGGUACUUUGAACUGUACGCAGCUCCAGCUGUUGGUUAUGAUACCCGGUACGUGCUGUGUCUGCCAUGUCACCCAUGUUCGUCUGUGGUCCCUACCUUCUUCUACCGUUCUGUGCUACCAACAAUAUUUGAUAUGUGACGAUAUUAUUUGGUAGGUACCUGUAUUACUGAUAUCGUCUAAACAAUAUUAACAUAUGUUGCCGUGUCAUCCGCUCUCCCAUCAUUGAGGCGAGUGUUACAUCACACACCUGACCUGCUUGAAGCCCAAGCAUCGAAUGAUCUGAGUAGCGGCUAUCUCACAGUCGGAAUGUAUGGAUGGGAAGCGGUCCUACUUCUUUUCGGUAUUUGUUUUGUUGUAUUGGGCGCUGCUGUUUUGUUUGUUUAUUUGUCUUGCCCUACCAAAUGCUGACGACUUGUUUUGUUCUUGAAAAGCGUCUAAUUUAUUAUCUCUCGCGAUUUCUGACUUUUUCCCCAUUUGAUUAUCGCACUGCAGGCUUUGCGGAAGUGAAGAAGCGGGAAAACGGGGAAGCGGGGAAGCUGCAGAUGGAGAUAGAGCUGAAUAGAUGGAGCAUUCUAGAACUGCUGAUGCGAUCGACUGAUUUACGGCUGUUGCAGAUACAUACAGAAUAGAAUUGCUGAGUUGCAGCAACAACAACAAACGCCGCACAAUUGUCCCGUUUAGAUACGCCAGCAGAGAGCGCUAAGAACUGGCCAAACGAGGAAGCAGCUGCAUAGGAGCACCUCUUACAGGGUCCGACGCACGACACGGCCUUUAGCUUCAGGCGUUCAAAAAUUGUUUAAUUCGAGAAGGGUCAAGCUUAAGUGGACUAGGACCACGGAUUAUCAGCACAUCGAUGACGCUGACAAGGCUGGGAGGGCAACGGAAUCUAACGAUAAGAAGGAGAGAGCACAAACAUAUGAUGCAAGCUAGAGAUUGAGCAAUUGGCGGCAUUAUAUUAGCUCGCCAUUGGAAGAGGACGUUUUCUAUCAUCCACUGCUCACACACCAAGCCCCAACAUAAUCUUCUUUUUGAAUUCAAGUGUUGACCAAGUGUUGUUGUGUUAUUUUGAACCAUGCUAAAUGAAAUAAAAACGUGUAAAAAUA